rnacentral:rRNA from 1 species
CCAGCAGCUGCGGUAAUUCCAGCUCCAAUAGCGUAUAUUAACGUUGUUGCGGUUAAAAAGCUCGUAGUUGAAUUUCUGCCGAGGACAACCUACCCACCUUCGGGUGCGUGUCAGAGUCGACUGAGGCAUCCUCCCAGCAGCUCCGUCCAUUUAAUCGUGGACACUGCUCUGGGACUUUUACUUUGAGGAAAUUAGAGUGUUCCAAGCAGGCAUUUGCCCUGUAUACAUUAGCAUGGAAUAAUAAUAUAGGACUUCGGUUCUAUUUUAUUGGUUCUGGACCGAAGUAAUGAUUAAUAGGGACAGUCGGGGGCAUUCGUACUCAACAGUCAGAGGUGAAAUUCUUGGAUUUGUUGGAGACGAACUACUGCGAAAGCAUUUGCCAAGGAUGUUUUCAUUGAUCAAGAACGAAAAU